CCAUCCACGUGGCUCCUGUCCUUCAUUCCACCGGAGUCUGUCUCUGCACAACCAGAUUUCAGUGGAGUGAAGAGCAGGAGGCGUGGAGCGGACG
rnacentral:miRNA from 1 species